rnacentral:tRNA from 1 species
GGUUUGUGGCUUGGUGGUAGAGCACUUGCCUCGCACAUGUAAGGCCCUGUGUUCAAUUCUCAGCACCA